GGGCCCGCACAAGCGGUGGAGCAUGUGGUUUAAUUCGAUGAUACGCGAGGAACCUUACCAGGGCUUAAAUGCAGUCUGACAGGAGUGGAAACACUCCCUUCUUCGGACAGAUUGCAAGGUGCUGCAUGGUUGUCGUCAGCUCGUGCCGUGAGGUGUCAGGUUAAGUCCUAUAACGAGCGCAACCCCUGUGGUUAGUUGCCAGCACGUAAUGGUGGGAACUCUAGCCAGACUGCCGGUGCAAACCGCGAGGAAGGUGGGGAUGACGUCAAAUCAUCACGGCCCUUACGUCCUGGGCCACACACGUGCUACAAUGGUAGGGACAGAGGGCAGCUACCCCGGCGAGGGGAUGCGAAUCUUCAAACCCUAUCACAGUUCGGAUCGCAGUCUGCAACUCGACUGCGUGAAGCUGGAAUCGCUAGUAAUCG
rnacentral:rRNA from 1 species